rnacentral:lncRNA from 1 species
CACCUGUUCUUUUACCUGCGCACUCUGCAAGACCGCAUUUUUGUUAUCAAGCGUUAGUCGUGACUGAGAGAAGACAUUUUUUCUGAGACCUCCAUUACACAACCUUCGUUGUUCUAUUGUUAUAGCUGCCCGACAAAGUACUAGCACGAUGAGACUUCUGAGGCUCGUAGCAUUGCUGAUGAUCGUGUUCGCUGCUUUCCGAAGAGUGAAAGCGGGCCAUGAUGAGGUUUCCUCUGAGUCGGCCAGGGCAUACAAGUUGGUAAAGGUUGCCAAAGUGGGCCUCAGCAUGAAUUUCGACGCGGGUGAACCUGCAGAUAUCAACACGAAACUUGACAUCAACCGUCCCAGAUAAUGUCUGUGUUUCGACUUCACAGAUGACCAGAGUUCAAGAUGACCACGCAAAGAUAUGAACCUAAAGGCAGCUACACACACACACACACAAACAAAUAACAUCUAUGUAUUAGUGUAUGUGUGUGUGUGUGUGUGUGUGUGUAUGUAUGUAUGUAUAU